AUGAAUGUGGUCAGUGAAAGUCAAUUGGAGAACAGAUUAUUUUUGUCUGAUAUUUAUCUUCUCAUUCAUUCAACCAAACAAAAGAUUUCUGGUCUCUCCAGUGAGGAAAGCAGCAUCCACCCUAUGAGGCUGACAAGAACAAGCAAGAGAGGUGACUUGCACAAAAGCAAGGGCCUGGCUUGGUCCUCCAUGAAUGCCAAACAAGGCAGCACGGCGCGGGCGUAAAGAACAACAGCCAGAAUGACUGGAAUUGAAUCUCCUGGACCUGUCUCCAGUUAACAUCUUGAUACAUUGUUCACUGCAGAUUUUUCUGUAUUAACUUGGACUUCUAAAAAGACCUUGCGUUAAAAUAUUAUUUAUCUUGAUUACCGA
rnacentral:lncRNA from 1 species